ACGAGUUUUAAUUGUUAGGUUAGAGUUGAGCUGGUUAAUCUAAUUAAUAUGUGCUUACUCUAAUCGAAACAAGUCCACUCAUUACUUAACACUUGUGAACUUAUUCAUUACAAACAUUAUUAUUUGUUAUUGGAACGUUUGAUUAUUAAAAAGUUAAUACAACUUUCAACAACGGAUCCUCUUGGCUCUCGCAUCGAUGAAGAACGCAGCGAAAUGCGAUAAGUAAUGUGAAUUGCAGAAUUCAGUGAAUCAUCGAAUCUUUGAACGCACCUUGCGCUCCCUGGUAUUCCGGGGAGCAUGCCUGUUUGAGUGUCGUGAAGUUAUCAUGGUCAUGAUCUUUAAUUAAUCAUGGCUUGGAUUUGGAGGUUUAUGUUGGCUUUCUUAAGUUGACUCCUCUUAAAUAUAUUAGCUCGGUGUCUUAAUACUUAGAGCAGGUUCACGGUGUGAUAAUUAUCUACACUUCAACUAAUCUAAGUUAAGCCGGCUUCUAAUAGAUCCUUGGUGAUCACUUUGUGAAUUUGACCUCAAAUCAGGUAGGACUACCCGCUGAACUUAAGCAUAUCAAUAAGCGGAGGAAUCGGCUACUUGGUCAUUUAGAGGAAGUAAAAGUCGUAACAAGGUUUCCGUAGGUGAACCUGCGGAAGGAUCAUUAUCGAGUUUUAAAUCCAGCUAUUUUCUAGCUGUGCAUUCACUUGCACGCCGGAGAAUAAUUGGCUCUUUAACUUUACACCCCUGUGCACCUUCAGGCUGUCGGAUUUUUUUCUCCAUCUCAUUUAUUUGAGAUGGGAUUUGGGCGAUGCUGUGGAAACACGGCUCGUUCUGCAAAGUCUCGACAUGUCUGUUUUUUUACACCUUUUUUGUAUGUUUUUGAAUGUUCUCAGUCGCACCGUAAUGGAGUGAUUGUAAAAAUAAGUA
rnacentral:misc_RNA from 1 species